rnacentral:rRNA from 1 species
AGUGAACGCUGGCGGUAGGCCUAACACAUGCAAGUCGAACGGCAGCACAGUAAGAGCUUGCUCUUACGGGUGGCGAGUGGCGGACGGGUGAGGAAUACAUCGGAAUCUACUUUUUCGUGGGGGAUAACGUAGGGAAACUUACGCUAAUACCGCAUACGACCUACGGGUGAAAGCAGGGGAUCUUCGGACCUUGCGCGAGUGAAUGAGCCGAUGUCGGAUUAGCUAGUUGGCGGGGUAAAGGCCCACCAAGGCGACGAUCCGUAGCUGGUCUGAGAGGAUGAUCAGCUACACUGGCACUGAGACACGGUCCAGACUCCUACGGGAGGCCGCAGUGGGGAAUAUUGGACGAUGGGCGCAAGCCUGAUCCAGCCAUACCGCGUGGGUGAAGAAGGCCUUCGGGUUGUAGAGCCCUUUUGUUGGGAAAGAAAAGCAGCAGGUUAAUACCCCGCUGUUCUGACGGUACCCAAAGAAUAAGCACCGGCUAACUUCGUG